rnacentral:rRNA from 1 species
GAUGAACGCUAGCGGCAGGCUUAAUACAUGCAAGUCGAGGGGUAGCAAGAUUGUAGCAAUACAAUUGUUGACGACCGGCAAACGGGUGCGGAACACGUACGCAACCUUCCUACAAGUGGGGAAUAGCCCAGAGAAAUUUGGAUUAAUACCCCGUAACAUAGCGAUGUGGCAUCACAUUGCUAUUAUAGCUUCGGCGCUUGUUGAUGGGUGUGCGGCUGAUUAGAUAGUUGGCGGGGUAACGGCCCACCAAGUCUACGAUCAGUAGCUGAUGUGAGAGCAUGAUCAGCCACACGGGCACUGAGACACGGGCCCGACUCCUACGGGAGGCAGCAGUGGGGAAUUUUGGACAAUGGACGCAAGUCUGAUCCAGCCAUUCCGCGUGCAGGAUGAAGGCCCUCGGGUUGUAAACUGCUUUUGUACGGAACGAAAAGGUCUCUCUUAAUACGGGGGGCUUAUGACGGUACCGUAAGAAUAAGCACCGGCUAACUACGUGCCAGCCGCCGCAGUAAUAC